rnacentral:lncRNA from 1 species
GGGAAGUAAGGGAUAGGGGUCAGGAAGGGAAAAGCUCUCCCUCUCUUUUAGUAUUCGUCUGUCUCUGCCUUUUUGUCUCUGUCUCUUUGUCUCUAUAUCUCUCUAUUUUUGUUUGUCUUUGUCUCUUUCUUCUCUUUGUCUCCCUCUCUGUCUUUGUGUCUCUCUGUCUCAGUCUCUCUGUCACUAUCUCUUUCUGCCUGCCUGCCUAUAUGUCCACUUGUCUGUCUGUCUGUCUCUCUCUCUUGAUAUCUGUCUAUCUAUAUUUCUGCCUUUUCGUUUCUGUCUCUUUUGCCAGUUUCUCUAUCUAUUUCUGUCUCUCUCCUCUGUUGCUUAAUAUUUGUCUGUCUCUACCUUUUUGUCUGUCUCUAUCUCUGCUUGCCUCUGUAUCUAUAUUUGUCUCUGUCUUUCUGUUUAUUUCACCCUCUCUCUGUCUCUUUGUCUCCCUGUCUCUCUCUCUCUCUCUCUCUCUCUCUCUCUCUCUCUCUCUGUCAAUGUCUCUCUCUUGAUACCUGUUUUUCUAUAUCUCUUCCUUUUUGCCUCUAUCUCUGUUUUUCUCUCUGAUUGUCUCCAUCUCUUUGUCUUUGUCUCUCUGUCUCUGUUUCUUUGUCUUCCUGUGUUUCUGUUUCUGUCAUACACACAUCCAUAAUCAAAAAGCUGUUUGAAGAGUUCCAUUUAUGGGAUGGCUGGGUGGGGGGGGGACUUUGGAAAUGGAAUAGACACACUGGAACUUUCUGGUAGUUGAUGGCAAACAUUGUGUUGUAUGUAUCUAAGAGGUGGAAGUUCCACAGAGGCAGAAGAUGCCAUUCGUGGUUGUCAGACAAGAAGAACAGGGACUUAAGAGGAAUGUGGGUGCCAGGAGAGGGAUGCUGGUCUAUCAGCCAUGGGGGUGGGGAGGGAACUAAAGACUGGUGCAAAGUGGUCCAUGAAAUGGAAAACAUUCACCUGCGGAAGGAAAGGGCAGCUAGCUCAUGAGAUAAAAGAGGAAGAAAGACAUGAGUGUUGUAAUGGGGAAAUGCUGAAGCAAUCUCCUCUGAGGAAGACUCCCGAGUGCCUGGGCUCUGAUUGGCCAGUGACAUCUAGACAGGAAGCCACAGGGCUUCUGCAUCCUUCCUAUAGUACUUACUCAGGCCUCACUUUUAACCAGAGGCUUCUGAAGGUUCCUCCAGGGCCAGAGGGCAAAAUAAAAUCACCAAGUCUGUCAUUCCAGCUCUUACAUUUCAUUGAAAAUGUGCAAACAGUUUUUAUUGGUCGUGGAUUUCAGCCCACCCAAGGAUUCUUAAAUCAUUCCUCUUAAUCUCCUUUUACAGGUUAGGGUUUUAUGUCUGCUUAUAUAUUUUUGUUAGUAGAUAAACCUACACUCUAACUACUAAGUCUUUUGACUUGGUUCUAUUUCCCCUCACAUAUUAUUAGUAGGUUCUGUUGACUCCAGUGUUAUGAUUAUAAAUCCAGCUUGAUCAUAAGUAGGGAAAGAAAUAAGCAUUUUAAAGCACUAUUUAAAUUACUACGUGCCAGACACUGGGCUAAGGGCUCUACAAAUAUCCUUAUUAAUAUUGUAUUCAAGAUUUUCACAUUAUAUUCAUCAGAGAUGCUCAUAAAUAACUUUCUUUUUUUGCCUUUAUUGUGCACUGUCUUAGGUGGCCACUUUAUAUGUAUCUCAUAGCAGUUUGGUAUUAUUGAUUUUUCUAUUUAAGAUAUAUAUAACACACACAUAUAAUAUUGGAAUUAAUUCUUCUUUGAAUAUUUGGUAUUAUUCACUUGUAGUUCUCUCUACCCCCGUUCCCUCUCUACCCAUUCCUUUUUCUAAAGAUUAGGUUGAAACAAAGAUAGAACAAGAACAUUAUCUAUUUCUUACUUUGUUAAUCUAAGUAUUUUAUGAUCCUCUAUUUAUUAAGUCAUUUCGUUUAGAUGACCAAUUGUGUUGGCAUAUAGGGACUGGACUUCUGCUUUUAUUGGUAAAGAAAAGACCUUGGUUGCAGAAAUGGAGUUCUGCCAAUUCAAGUCAGCAUUUUAGCUUAAGUAGUUAAGUGAUUUGUUGAGGGCGAGAAAGAAAAUAUGUCAGAGGUAAGAUUUGAAUGGAGGUGUCCACUAUGCACUAUUUUUGUUGUUGUUGUUUAUUCAUUUCAGUCAUGUCCAACUCAUGGUGACCCUGUUUGGGGUUUUCUUGGCAGAGAUACUGGAGUAGUUUGCAAUUUCCUUCUCCAGUUCAUUUUACAGAUAAGGAAACUGAGGAAAAGAGGGUUAAGUGACUUGCCCAGGGUCACACAGCCAGUAUGUGUCUGAAGCCAGAUUUGAAC